rnacentral:rRNA from 1 species
AUUGAACGCUGGCGGCAGGCCUAACACAUGCAAGUAGAACGAGUGGCGGACGGGUGAGUAAUGUCUGGGACACUGCCCGAUGGAGGGGGAUAACUACUGGAAACGGUAUCUAAUACCGCAUACCAUCGGAUGUGCCCAGAUGGGAUUAGCUAGUAGGUGGGGUAACGGCUCACCUAGGCGACGAUCCCUAGCUGGUCUGAGAGGAUGACCAGCCAAACUGGAACUGAGACACGGUACAGACUCCGACGGGAGGUAGUAGUGGGGAAUAUUGCACAAUGGGCGCAAUCCUGAUGCAGCCAUGCCGCUUGUAUGAAGAAGGCAUUCGGGUUGUAAAGUACUUUCAGCGAGGAGGCGUUACUCACAGAAGAAGCACCGGCUAACUCCGUGCCAGCAGCCGCGGUAAUAC